CGGUAAUUCCAGCUCCAAUAGCGUAUAUUAAAAUUGUUGCGGUUAGAACGCUCGUAGUUGGACAUUUGUAGGAGACUGCCGGUCUACCCCAGUGGUUAGUACUUGGCAUGUCUUUUGCACCUUCCUGGUGGAAGUGUUCGCACUUUGAUGUGUGGGGCGUAAUCCAGAACUUUUACUUUGAGGAAAUGAGAGUGCUUCACGCAGGCAUCCGUCGUGAAUACGUUAGCAUGGAAUAACACUAUAGACCACGUUCUAAAGCUGUUGGUUUUUAGGACGAGGUAAUGAAAAGAGGGAUAGUUGGGGGCAUUCGUAUUUAACUGUCAGAGGUGAAAUUCUUGGAUCUUUAAAAGACGAACUACUGCGAAAGCAUCUGCCCAGGAUGUUUCUAUUAAUCAAGAACGAAAGUUAGGGGAUCGAAGACGAUCAGAUACCGUCCUGGUCUUAACCUUAAACCAUGCCGACUAGAGAUUGGGGUCGUCAGAAUGUAGACGACGUCAGCAGCUUGAGAGAAAUCAAAGUCUUUGGGUUCCGGGGGGAGUAUGGUCGCAAGGCUGAAACUUAAAGGAAUUGACGGAAGGGCACCACCAGGAGUGGAGCCUGCGGCUUAAUUUGACUCAACACGGGGAAACUCACCAGGUCCAGACAUAGGGAGGAUUGACAGACUGAUAGCUCUUUCUUGAUCCUAUGGGUGGUGUGCAUGGCCGUUCUUAGUUGGUGGAGUGAUUUGUCUGGUUAAUUCCGUUAACGAACGAGACCUUAACCUGCUAAAUAGUUCUCGAAAACAUCACGUUUCCGGAGAGCUUCUUAGAGGGACUUUGUGUGUGUAACAUAAGGAAGUGCGAGGCAAUAACAGGUCUGUGAUGCCCUUAGAUGUCCUGGGCCACACGCGCGCUACACUGAUGCGUCCAACGAGUGCCCAACCUACUCUGGAAGGAAUGGGUAACCUUUUGAAAGCGCAUCGUGAUGGGGGUAGAUUAUUGCAAUUGUUAAUCUUGAACGAGGAAUUCCUAGUAAGCGCAAGUCAUCAGCUUGUGCUGAUUACGUCCCUGCCCUUUGUACACACCGCCCGUCGCUCCUACCGAUUGAGUAAUCUGGUGAAUAAUUUGGACUGCAACGUGCCCAGAUCUGGGAUGCGCUGCGGAAAGUCUAGUAAACCCUAUCACUUAGAGGAAGGAGAAGUCGUAACAAGG
rnacentral:rRNA from 1 species